UGGGGAAUAUUGCACAAUGGGCGCAAGCCUGAUGCAGCCAUGCCGCGUGUAUGAAGAAGGCCUUCGGGUUGUAAAGUACUUUCAGAGGGGAGGAAGGUGGUGAGCUUAAUACGCUCAUCAAUUGACGUUACCGACAGAAGAAGCACCGGCUAACUCCGUGCCAGCANCCGCGGUAAUACGGAGGGUGCAAGCGUUAAUCGGAAUUACUGGGCGUAAAGCGCACNCAGGCGGUUGAUUGANUCAGAUGUGAAAUCCCCGGGCUUAACCCGGGAAUUGCAUCUGAUACUGGUCAGCUAGANUCUUGUANAGGGGGGUAGAAUUCCNUGUGUAGCGGUGAANUGCCUAGANAUGUGACAGGAAUACCGGUGGCNAAGGCNGCCCCCUGGACAAAAANUGANGCUCAGGGUGC
rnacentral:rRNA from 1 species